rnacentral:rRNA from 1 species
GACCUCAAAUCAGGUAGGACUACCCGCUGAACUUAAGCAUAUCAAUAAGCGGAGGAAAAGAAACUAACAAGGAUUCCCCUAGUAACUGCGAGUGAAGAGGGAAGAGCUCAAAUUUAAAAUCUGUCAGUCUUUAGCUGACCGAGUUGUGAAUUAGAGAAGUGCUAUCAGCGCUGGCCUGUGCAAAAGUCUCUUGGAAAAGAGCAUCAUAGAGGGUGACAAUCCCGUCUUUGGUACAGAGCUCCAGGGCUACAUGAUGUGCUCUCGAUGAGUCGAGUUGUUUGGGAAUGCAGCUCUAAAUGGGUGGUAAAUUCCAUCUAAAGCUAAAUAUUGGCGAGAAACCGAUAGCGCACAAGUACCGUGAGGGAAAGAUGAAAAGAACUUUGAAAAGAGAGUUAAACAGUACGUGAAAUUGUUGAAAGGGAAACGCUUGAAGUCAG